GACGAACGCUGGCGGCGUGCUUAACACAUGCAAGUCGAGCGGUAAGGCCCUUUCGGGGGUACACGAGCGGCGAACGGGUGAGUAACACGUGGGUGACCUGCCCUUAGCUCUGGGAUAAGCCUGGGAAACUGGGUCUAAUACCGGAUAUGACUCCAUAACGCAUGUUGUGGGGUGGAAAGCCUUGUGCGGCUAGGGGAUGGGCCCGCGGCCUAUCAGCUUGUUGGUGGGGUGAUGGCCACCAAGGCGACGACGGGUAGCCGGCCUGAGAGGGCGACCGGCCACACUGGGACUGAGACACGGCCCAGACUCCUACGGGAGGCAGCAGUGGGGAAUCUUGCGCAAUGGGCGAAAGCCUGACGCA
rnacentral:rRNA from 1 species